UGAGCAUGGAACAUUUUUCCUUCUCUUUAUGCCUUCCUCGAUUUCUUUCAGGAACGUCCUGUGGUGUUUAGGGUACAGAUCCUUUACCACUUUAGUUAGGUUUAUUCCUAGGUAGCUUAUGCUUUUGGGUACAAUUGUAAAUGGGAUUGACUCCUUAAAUUUCGAGGCUCUUCAAACAACAAUAUGUCAGUCAACAGCUCUUUCUCUGUCCAUUUAUUUCACAGGAUCUGCGGUGGAAACAAAUAAACAAAAAUUGAGUGGACAACCUGGAGACACCUGCCCUGAAAAACGGCUGAAAAUAUUCACAAUAUACCGCAGCAAGGAACUUGACUCAUCAUCAGAUAUCCGAGAGGGCUCUUCUAACAACGAAAUGUCAACUGCUCUACCAAUGUCUAUUAAUGUCCUUGGAUCUGUUGUGGAAACAACACGAGAAACAUGUGGACAAGUUUUCGACACCUAUCCUGUAAAACAAUCGAAAUUAUUGAACAUCUUCCGUCGUAGAAAAUUUCAAGAACCAUAGGAGAUAUCAGAAGGUAAGAUGAAAGUUCAUUCAUUAAAUCGCCUCAAGAAAUCUUGUCCUAGGUGCACCUGGGUGUUUCUGUCAGCUAAGUUUCUGCCUCCUGGUUUUCAGCUCUGGUCAUGACCUCAAGGUCAUCAGAUUCACCCAUAUUCAGCAUGGAGCCUGCUUCGUAUACUCUCUUUCUUUCCCUCUGCCCUUCUCCUCCUUGCACUUGCUCUUUUGCUCUCUCCACACACGCAACACAGAAUCAUUAGUCAGUUUUGCUCGGGGUGCCAUAGUAAAGACAAACCUCCUAAGCUGUAUUCUUUGUUUCAUGUGUCCACAUCUUAAUUUAAAAGGUCAGUCAUUAGUUUGUGGCCAAAAUAGUGAAAUUGCAUUGAGACCGCUAAUUUGGUCAGAUUUAAUGGAAGGGAUUGUGAAACUAACAUUUGGAAAAGCUAGUCCAUGUUAAAUAUUAGCAAAAUGUUCUCUGUUUUUACAUUUUUUAAUUGGAGUUCAAUUUGCCAGCAUAUAGCAUAACACCCAGAGCUCAUCCCGGCAAGUGCCCCAUCAGUGUCUAUUACCGGGUCGCCCCAACCGCCUGCCCACCUCCCCUUCCACUACCCCUUGUUCAGUUCGCAGAGUUCACUGUGUCUUUUUGUUUUGUCACCCUCACUGAUAGUUUCCCUCAUUUUCUCCAUUCCCUCUAUUCCCUUUCACUAAUUUUUAUAUUCCCCAAAUGAAUGAGACCAUAUCAAGUUUGUCAAGUUUUUAAUAGUUCCCUGGUUAAUCGGGGUCUUUUCCCUUUCCACAGAAAUCUUACGAUGGUUUGUUCCAACUCUCUGAAGAAAGUCUGUGGUAUUUUUGUAGAGAUCGCAUGAAAUGUGUAUAUUGCCCUGGUAACAUCAACAUUUUCACAAUAUUACUUCUUCCAACCCAGGAGCACAGAAUAUUUUUCCACCUCUUUGUGCCUUCUUCAAUUUCUUUCAAAGUGUUCUCUAAUUUUUAGGUUAUAGAUCCUUUACCUCUUUGGUUAGUUUUAUUCAUUGGUAUAUUAUGCUUUUGGGUGCAAUUGUAAAUGGGAUUGUUUCUGUAAUUUCUUUUUCUUCAGUCUUAUUGUUAGUGUCACAUGCCUGGUUCUUGAUGUGCAGAAUCCUUUUCUGCAUGAAAGAAAGUCCUUGGAUCUUUUGGAGUUUUAAUUUGAGGAUUCCAGUGUUCAGUAUGUUAGGAGAAAUCCACCAGUGUAGCUGACGCGAUAAGUUCACAAUCUCAUGUAGGAAACUGCAUCCUUGGGAUGGCCAGCCCCAGGCUUAUUGCCGACCAAGCAAAUAGUUCAUUUUUGCCUGCGUUCUUCCAUGAGGAUACAACUAGAAUGAGUUCUGAUGUGGCGGGAGACUAAACUCCAUAUCUACCCAUCUUAGGAUUUCCGGGGGGACUCAUUACCAAGAGGAUAUCAUCAAAAGAAAAAAUUUAUAAAGGUUUGCAGUGCACAUCACACCGAAGAAAUCAAAAACAAGGAGGAACUCAAAGCAGCAGCUUAAAACUGUGGGCUUUAUAGCAUCUUCAGCAAAGAACAAUAAUACGUUUGUAGAAAGAAUGAUAACCUAAAGAAAAGCAGUUUUAGGCUAUCAAGGGCAGCAAACUGGAAAGGUAAAUAUAUGGGAAGACAUUAACACUAAGAUUUGUUUCUGGAUUCCUCUUCCCAAAAAUAUAUAUAUAUGUAUAUUUUGGGGUGGCAUACCCCGGCUUCCUUCACAAGGCUUUAUACCUGGCUCUAAGGAAUCCCUGCUGAGCCAAGCUCUAGUUAUUGGUAUUUGAGUUAAAUUACAGUUAUAGGUGGAAUGGGUGCAUGAGUCAUUUCAUUAGAAUGUUUUCAAAAGAUGUGCCCUUAGUCUCUUCUUUGACCAAAAGUGUGUGCAGAAGUCCCAUCCUCUAAGGGAUUGUACAGAAUGUCUGGAGCUCUGUAGAGUUGGUUUUUUUCCCCCCCUCCUGAGGAAAGCAAGAUUACUCUUUAACAGUUAAAAGCAUUGUUCCUAUUAGGGAUAAUGUAACACCACGUCAUCCUUCCUAUAUAGUACAAUCAUUAUGCAUACGCUAUAAAAACAGACUCUGCAUGGUGACUAAUUUUGGAAUAAAACCAUAGACUAAAUCA
rnacentral:lncRNA from 12 species